CGCAUCGCUCCGCCCCCACCCGAUCGUCCAACCGUGCGAGCACCCUAGCUUUGCAUCCCCGGUGCCGUCGCCGCGGCGCACACCUCCUGGGCCGCCGUCGAGGAGGAACGACGCGCCGCUGUCGCAUCCGGGCUUGCCGCUCAGCGCGUCUUGAUCCUCGGAUGCAUCCACGGAGUCGGUCCGCGCCCGGCGGGCUUUCACCGGGAAAGUAGAGAAGGUCCGGUCGGUGCCGACGGCUCAACCGAAGCAAGGCAAGGCUGUGGGUAAGGCGUCGGAGAGCAAGCCCAUCCGCGUGGAGGUUGUUGCUCCGAUGACAGUGACACCAGAGGUUGUUGCCCCCGCCGUGACAGCCGCCCUCGUGUCCUCAUCACGCGCCUGCCCCAUCCUCAGCGCCUCUUCCCUCUCCCCGUCGCCACAUCUCCUCCCACUCUCGGAUUCAUCACCUCUUCCCCCCUCCGACGGUGACCUCCCGCGCAUCACUUCCCAGUCCUUCGACUGCGACGACUUUGGCGAUGCCACAGCCGAUGGCGCCACUCCAUCGGCCCCACCUCCUCAAGGGGUGACCUAAGAACACCACCACCACGCCCGCCGUGUGGCACCGCCUCCAAACCUUACGCCCCUCACUCCACCAUGCUGCCGCAUCGUCGUCCCCGGCCUCCGCCCACACCGCACCCUGUACACGGCGGUGGUCGCGUUCCGGCACACGUCGCCCCUCCUCUCAUCUCCAGGCAAGCCCCUGUCCCUCAGAUCUGGGUUCAUCUCUGCCGAGGAGCUCGGCACCGUGGUGUGCUCGCUCGACCUGCGCACUACCUGAAGACGCAUUAUGCUGCUAUUGUCUCCCUCGUCGUUGCCUCGUGGGUCACAGUGCUCCUCCACUCCCUCGUCAGCCACAAUGACAGCCAACAAGCCGAUCAGAUUCUAGCAGCGCCAACGAAGUCGGUCAUAACUUGUUAGAUCCGAGUGCUUCGCUGCGUUCCUUCGUAAUACAAAUCGAUGUUGUUAGAGGAAAGAUGGGUGCUUAUAUAUUCCUGGGUACCAAACAGGGCAUAAGAUUUAUCUAGCUUCUCGCUUCAUGUUUUAUCUACACAUCUUGUCCCUAUGCAACUAUUGGCUGCAAGUAUGGUGAUGCAGUUUGGGCUGCAAGGUCCACCGUUAUACAAUGCUUGCUGUCUGUUUGCCAAAUGUUGUAAAGAAGUGAUGACUGGUGUCCAGGAGACUGAAAAGCACUGCUGAGGAGACUGAAAUUAUCUUCGCGAGGUGGAUUACACAUUGUAAGAACUAAGAACUAAAUCUGUUUUUUCUUCUUCUUAUUUUAAAGAGGACCAGGUCUCCUGCAUUCUUGGAAACAAGAGACGAUCUCAGAUUAUCACUAACUUUUUUAUGAGCUAUAAAUGUGCUCUGCUUAACGGACAUCUUAAGGACCACAGAUUCAGAGAACUAUGGAUUCAUAUAAAACGGCAUGGAACUGAUUCAAAAGAACAUGAAGUCCAGUGUGAUUUGAAAAUUUGGGUAUAGCUCAGAAGAGAUUUGUGAUGAUUCGAAGUAUCAAAGAAACCUGCAACAUCAAGAAUUUAAAAAUGAAGGUGACUCGUUCAUCUUUGAGACGCAGCGCCACAAUGGCAUAAGGGAGCUUUGCCCUGCGAAUGGAGAGCACAAGCUAAUCCGUGCCCGUGCUCUCAUCCCCCUGCAUGAACCCAAUUCUGUUGCGAUCAACCAUCAAGGGUUGUCCUAUUGUAUUAUUCAGUUCAUUGAAAAGGACUACAAAUUAGCAGAUACUAUGAUUUGGGGUCUACUCAAGCAUUGGCCAGUCAGAAACUGCCAAGAGGUAAUUGGUUUUGACCAAAUUAUCAACUAGAUGGCUCUAUAUAAAAUGGCACACGGAAUUGGCUGUGAGCCUGUCUGUCAAUGUCCGAAACGACGGCAGGCGUGAAGCGGUGGUCGGGAAGGAAUUAAUGAGUAGCAGCAAUGCGUCAGACAGCUACGUAUCUUCUUCCGCAAUCCCAUUCUGACUUAAUUAAUAAAACAACCUUUAUAAUAGUAUUAUACUGACUCGAUCGUCUCCAAAGUCUGAAGCAAAUAAAGGGUGGGUGCGUCUCCACCUAUACAUAUAGUAUAAUAGUGAGGUACCCGUAGAGACCAUAUAAAUCAGAGGGUUUUAUAUUUCACCAUUUGAUAAGAAAAUACUCGUAUUAGGAAGCUUCAAAAAGGAGAGGAUAUUGGAUCUUCUAUAUAUCUUACUUUGUCCUUUAUCAUUUUCAAAUGCCAAUCAGUGAACACCAAAUUUCAGGUUUGUUAAAUGCCUGUUACCAGUCAGGAAUGAUAUAUUAUCUUCGGAUAAUAAAUAAAAUAACUGGGAACUAGGAAUUGUACCACUAUGCUGUGUACUUAGUUCCUAUGUAAUUCUAAUUCCUUGGUUUAUUCUUCAAUAACUAGGACUGGACAAGAGCUUUUGGACAUGGUUGACAGUUUGCCCAUUGUUGCGAUAAAGAGCCUAAAAGUAUCUGACUUCCAAGGAACGAUAGCUCUCUGCCCAGCCACCAGUUUUGAGUUGUAUUGAGAGCAAAAAUUCACAUGCUUUCCGAAUGCAAAUAUUGUUCUCAUAAUUUCUCCCAGCAGCAACUAAGCCAUUUAUCGCAUGGAGGGUCCCAUAGAUAAAACAUAUUCCCCAAGUGCCAUACCUUGCAGGUAAUUUCUGAUUUAGUUACAAUUAGACAGAGGGAAAAAACCGAUAACCUGUACAAAUUAGAAUAUGUUUUCAUACAAACCAGGAUCCAUCCUUGUUUUGAUUACUCUCAAUAAAUAUGGCAGCUUUGUCAACAUUUUCUUUUAUUUCUUUACUGCGGUACUUUGAAUUGAAGUCACCAAAUAAUACCAAAGCCUGCAACACUGAGGAUGUACAUUCAACCGUUCUGCCAAUAUAUGAAUUGAGUGACUUAAUUAGUUUGCAAGGCAAAUUGACAUGGCAACAUGAAAUUCAGAUUUAGAAGAGUGGUCGUUGUUCUUACGGGUAAUCGGCGACAAUAUUUCAAAAACUCUCCACAGGAUUCAGAAUCUAGGAUGCCAAAUGAAACAAAAUAUACCAAGAGGAUGGGAUGGAGUUGUUGCCCACUGACUAGAUAUGCAGUGGACAUGAAAACAUUGAUAUGGUAAUUUCCUAGGGCUAUAUGAUCGUUGAAACGACACCGAACCAUUGUAUUUGAUUCCUCAGGGACUUUCUAUUAGUUUGGGUUUGGUUUUAUGGCCUAAGCCCCUUAAAUGGAAUAUAUUUGAUUUCAGGGUUCUAUUACAGCUGACUGUAAUGUUUAAAUAGAGAUGAAAAUGUAGUUAAGUAUAAUCAUGCUACUGUUUUUCUAUUCCUGUUACUCCCUCUCUAAGUCAUUUAGCUUUUCUAGAUGCAGCCAUGCACUUAGAUAUAUGUCAUGCCUAGAUACAUAGUAAAAAAACAUUAUCUAGAAAAUCCAAAAUGACAUAGUUUGGAAUGGAGUAAAUUUCCAUAUUUUUGUGCUCUAAGGCCUUUGUACAACUUUCUCUUGUGUAGUGUUGUAUUGGGUUUAUCACUGGAAUGUUUGUUUCUGAGGAUGAUUAGUGCAUAAGAGGUAGUGCCAUAAGGAUGGUAGAUCACUAUGCAAUUGAACCUUAUGUUCAAUACCCGUGCGUUGCAACGGCACAAUCAUAUUUAAUGGUAUUGACGGCUGAGCGGCACGUGAGAGCCGAGUAGCAAAACAUAAUCAGUCUCCUGUUCAUGAGAACGAUGUUCUGAGCCAAAAUCAUGAUUUUAACAAUUUGGAGCUACAUCUAGGAUGUCAAUAUCAAACCAAAUUAUAUCACCAAAUAAUCGGGUUGCAUCCCCCUCGGUCGGGCGUGCUGCUCAAUCGAUCUGGGAGGGGCUUUUUAGCACACCAAACCAGCUCGGUUGCUUGCAGCAAAUGAUGGGUGCAGCCCUGCAUGAUCCAAUGAUGGAUUGACUUGUUAACGAUCUUUGAGGAAUUCUCUCUGCUGGUUGACGUGGCGUCAGACUGUUAGAGAUCGAUCUGUCCUUCUUCCUUUCAAGGUAGGACCUCGUUGAAAUACUAGAACCUUAACACUUCACUUUCUCAGGGGAUUGAGAUGCUGUCAUUGGGAUCAUUUAAAACCAGAGUCAUUCUCUCGGUAAGUGUUUUCUCAAUGAUUGCUUGAUUUGGUCUGAACACUAUAUACUUCUAUUUUCUGCUAUAACUUCUGAGAACACAUCAUCACUAUUUCAAUCACAAACCUGUCCUUAUUUUAUUAUCUCUGUACUAUCAUAAUCAUCACUGAAACAUUAUAAUAUUAUAUCUAUGGUUUAUUACGGAUCAUCUGGUCUUAAUAUAUCUUUACUUCAUUUGUCUAUGAAAGGAGCUAUCUCUUAUGCACUAUAGGAAGUUAAAAGUAUUGCUUGUUGUUUGUAUGUGGAUUUAAAUGUGUACAAUUUCAUAUUCUUGUCAUAUUGUAUUGGGCAACAAGUAUUGCUUGGGUAGCAGCAGCCGCAUUCAGAGGCUCACUGUCCUUAUUAUUAUUGGCUAAGGCAGAGCGUGAUCCUGUCAUUUAGAGGCUCGCUAUGUGCCUCGUCCUUAUUUUUUGAUGUAGAACAAAGUAGCCUGACAGUGCUAUUAGGACUAUCUAGCUGGUUGCCACUUCUUUUUUUCACAGCUGCUUGGGUAGCAGCAGCUGCAUUCAGAGGCUCACUGUCCUUAUUAUUAUUGGCUAAGGCAGAGCGAAGAACUCUACCACUAUAAUGUGCAGACCUCAAGGGAUACCUUUUGCUUGGUGAUACUUCUGACCCUUUCCUUCCCAUUUUACUGUUUGUAUGUCAUACACUUGUUCCCAAUGUCGUUGUGGCCACUACAGGAAACGCCUAAAUUUUCGUGGGCCAAAAACCCACGAAAAUAAGCCUAAACCGACGAAAAUAGAGUAUUUUCGUCGGCCUGCCGACGAAAAUAGCCGCCGAAAAUAAGUUCGACGAAAAUAGACGUCUAUUUUCGUCGGUACCGACGAAAAUAACCUAUUUUCGUCGGUUUUCGCAAAACCGACGAAAAUAGUGAGUCACCCAUUUAUUUUCGUCGGCCGGGGGUGGCCGACGAAAAUACGCCAGGAUAGUUUCGUCAGCCUUGAGUGGCCGACGAAAAUAUCCUGGGAACAUAUUUUCGUCGGCCUAGGUGGUGGCCGACGAAAAUAGCCUGGGAACAUAUUUUCGUCGGCCACCACUGAGGCCGACGAAAAUUGAUGGUUCCCCCCCCCCCCCAAAACAGAUUUUUCUGCACCUAUUAAUAAUUCACAGCAAUAUACACAAUAUCACAUAUACAGAUUCACAAGCCUAAUACAUAAUUCACAAAACACAUUCACAUAUACAUAAAUAGUCCAUUCACAUAAGUUUAGAGUAUCCAUAAGUCCAAAAGUCCAUUGUCCAUUCAAAUACACAAUUCACAAAACUCUAGUCCAUAAGUCUAGAGUCCAUAAGUCCAUAAGCUACUAACUACUCACUACUCACUCCUCACUGAACAAGACCAAAUAAAUGAUAAACACAAAUGAAUAUCCUCCACAGUAACUGCUAGGCCACUGGAAUAUCAGAGAAACCUUCAUUAACAAGGUAAGUUAUCCAAUCAAGAUAGAUGUGUCAAGACCUACAAUGAUGAAAAAUAUUAAAAAUAUGUCUACUAGAUGCCUCAUUUUUCCUUUCUGAGGUAGAGCAAAGCACCCUGACACUGCUCUUAAAGGAACUGCCAUUUUUUCUUCUUUUCGCAGCUGGUUGACCAGUAGUACUAUUAUUUAGUGGCUCAAUCUAGCAAAAUAAGAAAAUUUCACCUCACAUUCAACAUAUUGCUUGUCUACUAGAGGAGCCAACACUUUAGCAAGAUCUUGAGGCAAGUAUCCAAGCAUCUCCUCGCAUUCAGACCCUGCAUACAACACCUACCUGUUCUAGAAUGAUUUCAGAACAUUUUUCAGUAGGUACUUUUUACAGUUAUGUUAUGUACUAGAAUGAUUUCGGAGACCAUGUAGAUAUCCAAAAUGAAUCUUUUUGUUGUGACCGAAGGGAGUAACUUUUUAGGUUUUGUGGUUACUUUUUCAAAAAUUAACUCUUUCGUUCACUAUAACUACAAAAUAGUAAGCCAGUGUACUGCAAGAACAAUGUUCUUCUUGAAUACUCAAAAGAACAAUGUCCAUCAUGGAUUCUGCUACGUGACCAUGUGGUCCAGCUUGUUUGGUACACGAGGCCAUAUCUUUGUGUUCGCUUUAUGUAUAUGUUCCCUUUUUAUUCCUCAGUUUAUUCACUUUUAUCUUGUAGUUGCAGGUUUCUUACUCCUGGGUAGGUUCCAUUUGUCUUAAAUAGCUUUAGAGCACCACCUUAUGAUAUCUCCUUUUGACUAUGAUUAUUUUCCUAUGAAUAAUUUUUCUGGGAAUACUAUUAAGAUACCAACUAAUCUUUGAUAUCCUCUAAACCAAACGCUUCAUGAUAGAUGAUUCUUGAGGUUGUUGAAUGAAUUGGUCUUGCGCAUGUUUGCAGGCCUUUAUUGGCCCACUAAUCUUUGAUACCCACUAAUCUUUGUGCUCUCAAUUAGCUCUAAACUAAUCUUUGAUACCCACUAAUAUUUGUGCUCUGAAUUGGCCUAAUUAAUGAUCAAGUGGUCAUGGUGUAUGUCAACUAAUCACUUUCUCUUCAUGUACUACUAGGUUAUAAUUAUUUGAUGUGGAGUAUAAACAUGCUUCUUGUAACAUACAUACUGAUGGUUAGGUACCUAUCCUAGUCGUGUUUGCAGGCCUUUCAGAUUGAACCGAUUACUUCAACGGUGUCAUACAUGAUUGGUAGGGAUGUGAUGGAGGGGAGGGGGCAAUGCAGGUGCAGGUGCAUUCCGAAUCUCCUUCCCUUUCUCCGGAUUCUAUUGUUCUUUGUUUCCUCCUAUUCGUUUCUGUAGUGAGAAAUGUCUUCGGUAAGAUUUGGUUGGUGGAAAUUCACUGCAUUUACUUAUUAUUGUCUCCCAAUUUCCUCUUCAUAGUCAGGAACUUUCUGGUUCAGUGGAAAUGUGGAAUUGUACCAAUGUAGAGUCUAGAAUAAGUGUGCCCUUAUCCUCCCAGUUAGCAUAAUGUGGGUACUUCGUUUGUCAUGUAUGGGGCAUAGUGCAAUACAAAUCCUUUUGUUAAUUAAUAAUGAUUCAGGGAUGCCUCGUUGUCCAUGUAACAUCCAAACUGCCCACACACACACAUCAAAUUUUGGCAUGAUAACCCUGUUCAUUAAAUCUGUUUUGUUUGUAAAUCACAAACAAAUAUGUUAACCUUUUAUUGAAGUGUGAGAUACUCAAUCAUGUUGUGUUUUUUGGUUUUCUAUUUUGAGUGUAUAGGUAAAAUUUAGAAUUUUAAGAGCAUAAUACCCUGGUUGUAUUUGGCUUGGGAGUAAGUGGAUGUUAGCAAUAGUGGAGCAUGUGUGGGAAGCGGAGGCUGACGACAGCUCUUACGUUAUCAAGGAACAAACUUAUCCUGAGAAAGUGCUCACACGUGGAACACAGACUACUCUUUAUUUGAGAGAUGAUGACAAGUAUGAGUUUACUGACCCUGCAAGAAUUGAAAGCUUAGUUAAGAACUGCUCACAAUUUGUGUCAUUCUCAUAUAUACAUGGAAGGAGAAAUCAAGAACAUUUGGGGUCUAAAGAGUCUAAAGAGGAGGAAGAAUAAAAAAAGGUGAAGAGGUCACUGAGGUUAGUUUUGUGUCAGUGUAAUAUGUUGUUUGUUUUCAUGUAAUUCUUGCUUCUAAUAUUAUAGAAAGAAUCCGGAUAGGCAGAUAAGAACAUGUCAAUGAUUUUGAUAUUUUCAGAAAUAAGGAUUUCUAUGGUGCAUGUUAUUUAAAAAACAAGCCAACUAUAGCUUGUGUCAGGUCAUAGAUGCUUGCUAUUAUUGGAACUGGUCCAUGCAAAUCAUUUUUGCUCAAAAUCCAACUUGGCCAAUCAUUAGUAGGUCAAGUUAUAUUCAUGAAACCUUUUGUUUGUUGUUUCUUUGCCUAAAAACAUGCUUUCAUUGGUUAGUUCAUUAUCCUAGAGUUGCAGAGGGACUUUAUGUAGCAUGAUCCAUGCUCAGGUAUUGCAAUUUUGGCAAUUUCUGUAAUGUAACAUGGAAUUGGUGAAGGUCCUUGGUCGAGUAAUCACAAUACUAUUGAUAUUAUUCAUAUUGAUUAAAUUUUUAUCAUUGGUUCUCUUUGUUUGUUAUAUUAUCUUGUGUCAUCGAUUAACAACUCUUUCACCGGACGUCUUGAGGUGACUUUAGUUUCUUAUCUUUUAUAUGUAUCCUGACAUAAAACCAGUGCUUAUUUUCUAUUCGUGCAUGUGCAGGUGUUGUACUGUUUCUUAGAAUUAUCCAGCAACUUCGAUGGGAGGAAUUUUGUUUGAGCUUGUGGGCCCAAUUUGAGAAGUUUUACAUAUAGAGUAAAAAAAGGUCCUGCUCUCGUGUUUUCGUGUAAAACUGGAUUUUGUUCAGUUCUUACUGUGGAGCUAUGCUUCCUAGAUAAAACUUCUCGAUUUGUAUAACUUCUCGAUUUGUAUAAAAACUUCUCCAUUUACAUAUUGGGAAGUCUAUAUGUAAAACUUCUCGAUUUAUAUAUCAACUAUGCUUCCUGUGGAGCAAGGAAGCGAACGCAAGCUAGCCUUU